rnacentral:rRNA from 1 species
UACGUAGGGCGCAAGCGUUAUCCGGAAUUAUUGGGCGUAAAGAGCUCGUAGGCGGUUUGUCGCGUCUGCCGUGAAAAGUCCGGGGCUCAACUCCGGAUCUGCGGUGGGUACGGGCAGACUAGAGUGAUGUAGGGGAGACUGGAAUUCCUGGUGUAGCGGUGAAAUGCGUUGAUAUCGUUCGGAACACCAAUAGCGUAGGCAAGCUUCUGGGUGCCACCUGACACUGCUAGGACGAAAGCGAUGGGGAGGCGAAUGGG